GACGUUGACGUCGACGUUGACGCUACUUGAAAAACUGAUCGAAAUUAUAGCCGGCAAAUGCAUUAGAUAUAUUAAGAGUAGUAGUGGGAGUGGGAGAUAAAGAGAGCGACAGCAAAAUCAAUGAUUGACACGAGCAACUCCUGUCGUUGCAGUCUCAACUUCGUUGUCGUGGUCGUCAUCUCCGACGUCUUCGUCGUAGCUGUCGUCGUCGUCGUCGUCGUCGUUGCCGUUGUGAAGCGCCGGUUGUUUGUCAGCAUAAAAACUUGAUCGUUCCGUUGUCUGAGGCAAUGGAAUUUGAUGGGAAUGAAGUGCUUGUAUUUAUGGGAGGAGCCGUUUAAUUGCUGAUUAUGCAAAAAGUACCAAAAAAAACAAAAAAAAAAAACUGUUUGC